CGAACGGCUUCGACGAAGAGGAGUACCUUUUGCAGACACUGAAGAGAGCUGGUGGGUGGUGUGAACCAGUGUGGAUGCGUCAGGGAAUGGACUUCCGAGCCUCCAAACCGAAAUCCUUUAGGGAGAGUAGGCUUUGGCGAAUGUCUUAUCGUUACAAAAGACACGCAUUCAAGCCGGCCGGCUUCGAUGCGGAUGAGUGGACUGCGAGAAGCAGUCAACAAAGGUGGCACCACGGGUAUCCCGUCCUUUUU
rnacentral:ncRNA from 1 species